rnacentral:rRNA from 1 species
CCUACGGGAGGCAGCAGUGGGGAAUAUUGCACAAUGGGGGAAACCCUGAUGCAGCGACGCCGCGUGAGUGAAGAAGUAUUUCGGUAUGUAAAGCUCUAUCAGCAGGGAAGAAACCCACCCUCCGGGGUGGCUGACGGUACCUGACUAAGAAGCCCCGGCUAACUACGUGCCAGCAGCCGCGGUAAUACGUAGGGGGCAAGCCUUAUCCGGAUUUACAGGGUGUAAAGGGAGCGUAGGUGGCAAGGCAAGUCAGAUGUGAAAACCCGGGGACCAACCCCGGGAGUGCAUUUGAAACUGUCUGGCUAGAGUGCAGGAGAGGUAAGUGGAAGUCCUAGUGUAGCGGUGAAAUGCAUAGAUAUUAGGAGGAACACCAGUGGCGAAGGCGGCUUACUGGACUGUAACUGACACUGAGGCUCGAAAGCGUGGGGAGCAAACAGGAUUAGAUACCCUUGUAGUC